UGCAUCUGAAGCCUGACGAGGAUGAGAACCUCCGGGGGCAAGAGGUUCGACCCGAGCGAAGCGAGAGAACGUUGCGUCAGCAACGGCCCGCAGGGCGAGCCACGCAGUGGCGAGUCAUCCUCUAUCACCGACCA
rnacentral:sRNA from 11 species